rnacentral:rRNA from 1 species
AUUGAACGCUGGCGGCAUGCCUUACACAUGCAAGUCGAACGGCAGCGCGGGAGCAAUCCUGGCGGCGAGUGGCGAACGGGUGAGUAAUACAUCGGAACGUGCCCAAUCGUGGGGGAUAACGCAGCGAAAGCUGUGCUAAUACCGCAUACGAUCUACGGAUGAAAGCAGGGGAUCGCAAGACCUUGCGCGAAUGGAGCGGCCGAUGGCAGAUUAGGUAGUUGGUGAGGUAAAGGCUCACCAAGCCUUCGAUCUGUAGCUGGUCUGAGAGGACGACCAGCAACACUGGGACUGAGACACGGCCCAGACUCCUACGGGAGGCAGCAGUGGGGAAUUUUGGACAAUGGGCGCAAGCCUGAUCCAGCCAUGCCGCGUGCAGGAUGAAGGCCUUCGGGUUGUAAACUGCUUUUGUACGGAACGAAAAGGUUCUUUCUAAUAAAGAGAGCUCAUGACGGUACCGUAAGAAUAAGCACCGGCUAACUACGUGCCAGCAGCCGCCGCCGUAA